GUCCCGCUGUGCGUCGGUGGGGACGGCGGCGGUGUCACCGUGCGGUGCCGGGGGGGCCCGGGGGGGGCCGUGGCCGUCCCUCUCAGUCCAGAGGCGGCUGUCGAGAGUGCGCAGCUCCUCCGAGAUCUCCUCCACCUUCCGCUUGGUGUCCGAGACUUGUGCUCGGACGUAGCGCACGUACUGCUGGGGGCUGAGGGCGGGUUGGCAGCGGAUGUGCAGCGGGGCGGCGCCGGGGGGGGGCCGCAGCCAGGGGUGGUGGCAGAGCCGCCCGGUGUGCACCGUCAGCACGUAGGAGCACGACUGCGGCUCGUCCACCCGCGCGAUGUAAUCCCCCGCCCCCUCCUC
rnacentral:lncRNA from 1 species